rnacentral:tRNA from 3 species
GCGAAUGUGGCGGAAUUGGUAGACGCACCAGAUUUAGGUUCUGGCGCCGAGAGGCGUGAGAGUUCGAGUCUCUCCUUUCGCACCA